CAGCGGGAGCGGACGCGGCGGCGGGCAGGUGUGCGCGUGUCGCCGCCUGACGCAGGGCGCGAGUCGAGCUGCCGGGUGUCGCCGCCGCUCCCCGCGGCCCCCCAGCCGGCCCGACCCCUCCUCCUUCUCCUCCUCCCCCCCCCCCCCCCACGCCCCGCCACCCGCCGGGCUGCGGCGGCGGCGACCGCGGGUUCCGCGUGCGGCCACCGAUCGCCGCCCUCCCAGCCCUCCCCGACCCCGCCGCGCCGCGUCCCCCCGCGGCUCACAAUGUGCUGACCCUCCCGGCCGCGCCGCACGCGCUCCGGGGCCUGGCGGCCGCGCUCCCUCUGGAAGGGACCGACCGCGGGCCCCUUCCUCCUUCCCGCUCCCCUCCCGGACCCCGGGCUGAACGCCACGCGCGUCCUCGCACCCCGACCCCCGCUCACACCCGGGCUAGCGGGCGACCAUGCGGCCCUGCAGGUUCUUCAGAAGAUGAUGAGGUCAUUCAACCAGUUUUCAUCAGCCCCAGAGUGAAUCCUUUGACAUGGAGAUGAUGCUCUAAUGAGUAUCAUGAAAAAGAAGAUUCUGAAAAGUUGCUACAAUAUUUUAAUUUACCAGCUAGUUUCUGAUAACUGUAGACUGUGGUUUUUCUGUGGGGGGCAAACUGGAGACAAGCCAGAUAACCUUUUUCUUUUCUGUUGGGAAACAAUGUUAACACCAAUGUGUUAAGUGACUGCAAUAAAGUUUCAUGUCUGUGUUUCCUUGAGAUUAAAAAGGUGUUGUUUGGGAGAGGAUCCACUUUCACCGAAAAGAGUGGUUAUUUCCAGGGAUUACAUUUAAACUGAAAUGCUUGAACAUCUAUUGGUCCAGUCUCUCCUCACUUUGCAAAUGAAGUAACUAAGGCCAGAGAUUCUUAGUAAUUAGCAAGGUCAGCAAGUGGGACCAGAACUCUGGCUUCCAGUUUCUGGCUGGAUGUUCUUUCUCCACAGAUUUGCUUCCCACACAAGCAUCUUUAAAACCUGAUUUCUUCCCACUUCCCUCAUCUUUCAUUCCCCUACUGUUCUUCUCCUUCCCAUGUUGCACACACCUGACCCCUUCUCCCAAAUAAAGCCAAAGUGGAAAUGUUAAAAUAAAUACCUGGAAAACAGUU